rnacentral:rRNA from 1 species
UGGGCAACCUGCCCCUAGCUCUGGGAUAACUGCGGGAAAUUGUAGCUAAUACCGGAUGUGACACGAGACUGCAUGGUCUUCGUGUGGAAAGAUUUAUCGGCUAGGGAUAGGCCCGCGGUCUAUCAGCUUGUUGGUGGGGUAAUGGCUCACCAAGGCGACGACGGAUAACCGGCCUGAGAGGGCGACCGGUCACACUGGGACUGAGACACGGCCCAGACUCCUACGGGAGGNA